CUGUCAUGCAAAUAUUUGAUCUCGUAAUGAAUAUAUUAUGUGUAAAGUAGUCGCAAGCAAUUUGUUUACGAACAACCUUCCACUGUGCAUCUUAUCUUGAACAAGUCUAUUAUACCAAGUAACAACGAAAUGAAUUGUUUGACAUAUGUUGUCAUUAUGCUGAGUUUUUUUCAUUGUUUGAAAUCCUUGCCUGUCACAAACAUAGAAGCUGUCGAAAAACCAGACAAAACACUCGUGUCAUGCCGUUGCCAAACUUUUCCAUGGCUAACAGGAAUUCUACGCGAUAUGUGUGGACGAACUGAGCAAAUCUGUAGCAUUCUGCCAGGGGAAAGGAUUACAUACUGCUGUCAUCCAAGAUAAAUAUAGUAUUCAUAUUAAAAGUAAAUAUUAAUUUAUAUCCUCAUUGAUUGAUGGUCGAAGAAUGCAAUUUUGUUUCUUUGUAAUUAAAGUUGAUCUUUGA